GAUCAUGGCUCAGGAUGAACGCUAGCUACAGGCUUAACACAUGCAAGUCGUGGGGCAGCAUGGUGUUGCUGCAACAACCGAUGGCGACCGGCGCACGGGUGAGUAACGCGUAUCCAACCUGGCCCUUAGUAGGGGAUAGCCCGGCGAAAGUCGGAUUAAUACCCUAUGUUUUCCCAUGAGAGCAUUUGAAAGGGAACAAAGAUUCAUCGCUAGGGGAUGGGGAUGCGUCCGAUUAGCUUGCCGGCGGGGUAACGGCCCACCGGGGCGACGAUCGGUAGGGGUUCUGAGAGGAAGGUCCCCCACAUUGGAACUGAGACACGGUCCAAACUCCUACGGGAGGCAGCAGUGAGGAAUAUUGGUCAAUGGGCGAGAGCCUGAACCAGCCAAAGUAGCGUGAGGGAUGACGGCCCUACGGAUUGUAAACCUCUUUUGUACGGGAAUAAAGUGCGCCACGUGUGGCGUUUUGUAUGUACCGUAAGAAUAAGGACCGGCUAAUUCCGUGCCAGCAGCCGC
rnacentral:rRNA from 1 species